CUCUCCGCACCUGUUUUCUUUCUUUCUUUCUUUCCCACAAAUUUGAAAAUUUUAGUUAGUAAUCAAAUUAAACAUCUAACCAAGAGACCAGAAAGCUUCAAGAUGAUCGAAGGUUCGAAGCCGUCAAGAUCUUCUUUUUGAAGAACUUCGUUUUACCUUUACAAAAGGAGCAAUUGAUUCUGUUCCCUCUGAAGCAUUUGUGAAUGCAAAUGAAGCGAGUAGCAUCAAACACUAAACAUUGAAAUCUGUAGCCAGGUGAAAGCCAUGGAUGUUGGAGGCCAAAGUUCAGAUCAGGAGCACGAGGGAGAAACAAGGGUUGCCUCUUUCAGGGAAACAGCUCGUAAGUGGAUGGCAUUUGAAAGAGAUGAGAUUACAGAGGAUGCUGAAGCAGAGACAAAGAGAAGUUCACUGACAGAUAAUGAUUUUUCGGAGUCAAGUGAAGCAAGUAGAACGCCUUUGGAUGAUCAAUCUAAUCAGAUUCUAACUGGUGCUUCCAUGGCUGAAAGAGCUGCAGAAUGGGGGUUGGUUGUCAAAACAGAGUUAGGAUCAGGCAAUCCCAAAGCUGUAGAACUAAGGUUAUCUGGAGAUAAAAGCAAAAAUUCAGCAGAGAGAAUCAUAGAAUAUGCAAAGUCAUCUGAAGAAUUUGGAUCUGAUUCGGAAUUCCCGAGGGUUUCACAAGAGCUUAAGGAUGCAUUGGCUACACUACAGCAGACAUUUGUUGUAUCAGAUGCCACCAAACCAGACUGUCCUAUAGUAUAUGCAAGUGCUGGGUUUUUCAGCAUGACUGGUUAUUCUACCAAGGAAAUCAUUGGAAGGAACUGCCGCUUUCUUCAGGGACCUGAUACUGAUGAAAACGAAGUUGCGAAAAUAAGAGAAGUUAUUAGAAAUGGGAAAAGCUAUAGCGGCAGACUCUUGAAUUACAAGAAGAAUGGCACACCUUUCUGGAAUCUUCUCACCAUCACACCAAUAAAAGACGAUACUGGGAAGGUUAUCAAAUUCAUAGGGAUGCAGGUUGAGGUUAGCAAAUACACUGAAGGCCUGAAUGACAAGGCUUUGCGACCAAAUGGCUUGCCUAAGUCACUGAUCCGUUACGAUGCACGCCAGAAGGAGAAGGCCUUAGGUUCCAUCACAGAGGUUGUCCAAACUGUGAAGCACCCACUAGCUCAUAUUAAAGACACAGAUCAUGAGAAUAUUGGCAAGCGUGAGGAGCCAGAGAAUUUUAACCUUGAUUAUUUACUUCCAAAAUCUUCAGAAGCUGAGACCCUAGGCACACCUGAUGGACAAACUCCUCAAAUGGAUGCCAGAAGUGACGUGUUUAGAAAGGAUUAUUGUCAAGAUGAUGGAAAGAAAUCUCGGAAAUCAGGGCGCAUGUCCUUCUUGGGGUUAAAGCGUAGGUCUCUAGGCUUUGCAGAAACUCCUGAGCCCAUUAUUGAGCCAGAGGUGUUGAUGACCAAAGAUGUGCAACGAACUGAUAGCUGGGAUCAUGUGGAAAGAGAAAGGGAUGUACGCCAAGGAAUUGACUUAGCUACAACAUUGGAACGCAUUGAAAAAAAUUUUGUGAUUACAGAUCCUAGGCUUCCUGAUAACCCAAUUAUAUUUGCAUCUGAUAGCUUUCUUGAGCUGACAGAAUAUACUCGGGAAGAAAUUUUGGGAAGAAACUGCCGGUUUCUUCAAGGACCUGAAACAGAUCAAGGUACUGUCUCCCAAAUAAGAGAUGCUAUACGAGAUCAGAGAGAAAUUACUGUUCAGUUGAUUAACUACACCAAGAGUGGGAAAAAAUUUUGGAAUUUAUUCCACCUGCAACCUAUGCGUGAUCAAAAUGGUGAACUUCAAUACUUCAUCGGCGUGCAAUUAGAUGGAAGUGAUCAUGUUGAACCCCUUCGAAAUCGCCUUUCGGAGAAGACAGAACUGAAAAGUGCUAAGUUGGUAAAAGGGACUGCAGAAAAUGUUAAUGAAGCUGUUCGAGAGCUCCCAGAUGCCAACUUGAGACCAGAAGAUCUGUGGGCAAUCCAUUCUCAACCUGUCUUUCCAAGGCCUCACAAAAAGAACAGUCCUUCUUGGGUAGCAAUACAGAUGAUCAUUUCACGUGGUGAAAAAAUUGGGCUGAAGCAUUUCAAGCCCAUAAGACCUUUGGGUUGCGGUGACACUGGCAGUGUUCAUUUGGUGGAAUUGAAUGGAACGGGUGAAUUGUAUGCUAUGAAGGCUAUGGACAAAUCUAUGAUGAUGAGCCGUAACAAGGUUCAUCGAGCAUGCAUUGAAAGGGAAAUUGUUUCACUACUGGAUCAUCCUUUUCUUCCGACAUUAUACACUUCUUUUCAGACUGAUACACAUGUUUGCUUGAUUACGGACUUUUGCCCUGGUGGGGAGUUAUUUGCCUUACUUGACAAGCAGCCAUUGAAGAUAUUUAAAGAAGAAUCUGCGAGGUUCUAUGCCGCAGAAGUAGUAGUUGGAUUAGAAUAUCUUCAUUGUUUAGGAAUUAUUUAUCGGGACCUAAAGCCUGAAAACCUGUUACUCCAAAAGGAUGGGCAUAUUGUAUUGACUGACUUUGAUUUAUCAUUUUUGACAUCUUGUCAACCCGAAGUUAUACAGACUCCUAAGCCUACGAAGAGAAGAUCUAGGAGAUCUAGGAGUCAGCCACCUCCAACAUUUGUUGCAGAACCUGUUACGCUGUCAAAUUCAUUUGUUGGAACUGAAGAGUAUAUUGCUCCGGAAAUUAUUACAGGUGCGGGCCAUAGUAGUGCUAUUGAUUGGUGGGCUCUUGGUAUUUUGUUGUAUGAGAUGAUUUAUGGGCGCACACCUUUCAGGGGAAAGAAUAGGCAGAAAACAUUUGCCAACAUCCUGCGCAAAGAUCUCACUUUUCCUAGAAGCAUUCCGGUAAGCCUCACAGCAAGGCAGUUGAUACAUGGAUUAUUGCAUAGGGACCCUGCAAACCGUUUAGGAUCAACACAUGGUUCCACUGAAAUCAAACAGCAUCCUUUCUUCCGUGGAAUUAAUUGGCCUCUUAUCCGCUGCAUGGUACUUUUUCACAUCUUUCUCCGAAACUGAUAUGUACUCAUUUUGCCUUGCAAGAAGGUUCCAGUUACUUUUGCCCUAUUUCUAGGGCCUGCAAAGUAAAUUUGGUACUGCUAGAGCCCACCGCCUUUAGAUGUGCCUCUUCAAAUAAUUGGAAAAGACCCGAAGGCAAAGGAUGUAAAUUGGGACGAUGGAGUUCUCGUCCAUUCCAUGGACUUCUUUUAAGAGGUUUUACUCAUAAUUUAGACAGGAGGAUUUGGUAAAUCACUGCACAAGGUUUUGAUCCUGCCUCUUGUCUCACAGGAUCUCAACAUGAAAAUUCAGAUACUAAAUCAUGUACAGCGUAGAAAAGCAAUCAAUAAUGGUGCAGGGCUUUGGAGGUAUCAAAUCAGACAAAAAUAAGCACUUCAAGGGCGGUUAGGGAGAACCUCAUCUGUAGCUUUACUACAACAUGCUAUGCAUAUGGUUCCUGUAGUCAUGCAGAAGUGAAUAAACAGCAAUUUAUCCCUUAAAUUUUAACAGGCCCCUUGACUGCAUUUUAACCAGCCCAAUCGGAAACUACCCCUUAAAAUUAAUCAGAGCAAGUGUUGUUCAUAAUGACUUAACUAGAUUUUCCUUUACAUACCACUAACUUGUGCUCUUUUUAUGUCGUCGGAUUGUUGGAGGAUAAAGAAGAUUUUUUCUUUUGGGGUGUGGGGGGGAUUAAUAUUGGGAAGCUUAGAAAAAAAAGAGAGACAAAAAUGGAUUUUAAUCUAAUGAACAUGAUUUGGAUCCUUGACAAGGGAUCA